rnacentral:rRNA from 1 species
UACGAAGGGGGCUAGCGUUGCUCGGAAUCACUGGGCGUAAAGCGCACGUAGGCGGCUUUUUAAGUCAGGGGUGAAAUCCUGGAGCUCAACUCCAGAACUGCCUUUGAUACUGGGAAGCUUGAGUCCGGGAGAGGUGAGUGGAACUCCGAGUGUAGAGGUGAAAUUCGUAGAUAUUCGGAAGAACACCAGUGGCGAAGGCGGCGCACUGGCCCGGUACUGACGCUGAGGUGCGAAAGCGUGGGGAGCAAACAGG